rnacentral:tRNA from 1 species
GCCUGGGUGGCUCAGUUGGUUGAGCUUCCGACUUCAGCUCAGGUCAUGAUCUCACAGUCUGUGGGUUCGUGCCCCACGUCAGGCU